rnacentral:rRNA from 1 species
CUUUCUUUGCUGGCGACCGGCGCACGGGUGAGUAACACGUAUCCAAACUGCCCUUUACUCGGGGAUAGCCUUUCGAAAGAAAGAUUAAUACCCGAUAGCAUAAUGAUUCCGCAUGGUUUCAUUAUUAAAGGAUUCCGGUAAAGGAUGGGGAUGCGUUCCAUUAGGUUGUUGGUGAGGUAACGGCUCACCAAGCCUUCGAUGGAUAGGGGUUCUGAGAGGAAGGUCCCCCACAUUGGAACUGAGACACGGUCCAA